CUCAAGGCCAAGAAUUACUUUGCCAGAAAACAGAAAUCCCCCCUGGCGAUUGGCUCUUGAAGCCACUUGUGGUUGAUUGGUUGUGGUCGAGUGUGCGGCUCUACAAUUUGCUCGGUCAUCCAGACAACAGGGUCGCCGCUGCUCUUCAUUGUACUCAGCCCUCUAGGUCAGCACCCAAGGCUCUCAUCUUCACCGUUAAUUUGCAGAUCUUAGGUCUGACAUGGAAAUUCCCAUAAUGGAGCCUGAAGCUGAGCGAAACAAUAUGUAGACUUCGCUAUAUACACCAUUCGCUUUUUUGACGUUUGGAUAACAAUACAUGAAGUCAAAACAUAGGCCAUAACUUUAAGAACAAGAUUGGAGUUUUUGUACAAGCCCAAUGGUCAACCCUCAAGCUCAUCAUCUCAGAAAUUUUUUGCAAGCCCAAUGCUCAACAAUCAAGCUCAUCAUCUUAGAAGUUUUUUGCAAGCCCAAUGCUCAACAAUCAAGCUCGUCAUCUUUGAAAUUUUUUGCAACCCAAUGCUAAUGGAGAAGACUUUAUCUUGGAAUGAAGCUUCGAAAU